rnacentral:lncRNA from 1 species
UGAUGACAAAGUGAUUACAUGAACUCAAUAUCAUGUUAAAAUAGGGUGAGUUUGAAAAAGCGUUACUUUGUUUCAACACAUAAAAAAAUUUGUAGGACGACAAACUUGAUUAGGUUUGUUGGAAUUUAAGCCUUGAGGUAAGAUCAUAUGCACUGUAAGAAUCUUUUUUUUUUUCUUUCUCUUUCUUCUUCUUUUACCCCUUUCUCCAUAUCCUUCCCUUUCUCCUUUUUUUUCUUAUUCUUCCACUUUCCCUUCAUCUUCUUCUUCUUCCUUCAUCAUUAUCCUCCUUUUCUUCUUUCCUUUUCUUUUUCAGAA